GUAACCAAUUUGGUUGGAACCCCACUGUGGUCUGUGCCCUCACCAGCGUAGAAAUCAUCCAUCGUCAAGCUCUGUGAAAAACAAAAAGUACAGUAAGUUCCUGGCUAGAACACAUUUGAGGAAUCCAGCAGGUUCAGAUUUCUGAAAAUCUUUUGAGCAACAUGAAGAAUUUACCAUGCCAAACUACUGGACAAUACAAAUGUAUGUUAAGUACUCUAUGGCGAUUUCAUUUUUAUUGAAGGAGUGGGCAACGGUCAGGAAAUGAAACAAACAGUCAGACAUACUGAAUGCAGGUGCAGGCCUGCAGCCAACGACAUCUCUAUCAGACAGGGAACAAUAAGAAACCAGUUUGCUCUUGGGUCAUUUUUUUUUGUUUCUAUUAAUAUAUUUAUUUUAUUACUAAUAUAAAAUGAGACUAAAGCUGCUUCUGUUGUUUUCACUUUUCUAUACUUUACGGCUAUAGAAUUCUAAUUAUACAGAAACAAUUAUAACUUGGUUUCACAACCACAAAGAGAGUAAAGCACAUAUGCUGAUGUGCUAGGUUCAAUCAAAACAAGCAACAACUCGAACUGUUGUAUAUUCAAUGAAGCUAUUC
rnacentral:sRNA from 1 species